rnacentral:rRNA from 1 species
CAGUCGAGCGGUAACAGAAAGUAGCUUGCUACUUUGCUGACGAGCGGCGGACGGGUGAGUAAUGCCUGGGAAUUUGCCCAUUCGAGGGGGAUAACAGUUGGAAACGACUGCUAAUACCGCAUACGCCCUACGGGGGAAAGGAGGGGACCUUCGGGCCUUCCGCGAAUGGAUAAGCCCAGGUGGGAUUAGCUAGUAGGUGAGGUAAUGGCUCACCUAGGCGACGAUCCCUAGCUGUUCUGAGAGGAUGAUCAGCCACACUGGGACUGAGACACGGCCCAGACUCCUACGGGAGGCAGCAGUGGGGAAUAUUGCACAAUGGGCGAAAGCCUGAUGCAGCCAUGCCGCGUGUGUGAAGAAGGCCUUCGGGUUGUAAAGCACUUUCAGCGAGGAGGAAAGGUUACUGGCUAAUAUCCAGUAGCUGUGACGUUACUCGCAGAAGAAGCACCGGCUAACUCCGUGCCAGCAG